GAAACAUCUUGCUCUAGAAAUGGAAGAGGCAUAAGCACUUACAGAGAAGAAUUGCAAAAGACUGUCAAAAUUAUUUAAAGGAAUAAGCAUUGCACUAGGUGCUAAGAAUAACAUGGUGAACAAAAAGACAAAAUACUUGUCCCCAUGGAUUCUAUAAUCUAAUGGAGAAGACAGAUAAUAAGAUCAUGGCAUAACUGAAGUUACUAAGAUACAGCCGUGAAGUUUCCUGGUCUGUAAAAUGGAUAAGAUCAUUCCUGGCUCACCUUACUCACAGCUUUGAAUUGAAGAU